GGUCAAGCGAAUAAGUGCAUGUGGUGGAUGCCUUGGCGAUUACAGGCGAUGAAGGACGUAGUAGCCUGCGAUAAGCCCCGGGGAGCUGGCAAACAAGCUUUGAUCCGGGGAUUUCCGAAUGGGGAAACCCAACCCGCAAGGGUUACUCCCACCUGAAUACAUAGGGUGGGUAGAGCGAACCUGCUGAACUGAAACAUCUAAGUAGGCAGAGGAACAGAAAUCAACCGAGAUUCC
rnacentral:rRNA from 1 species